rnacentral:misc_RNA from 1 species
GAUGAAGAACGUAGCGAAAUGCGAUAAGUAAUGCGAAUUGCAGAAUUCCAGUGAGUCAUCGAAUCUUUGAACGCACAUUGCGCCCAUUGGUAUUCCGAUGGGCAUGCCUGUUCGAGCGUCAUUGCUGCCCUCAAGCACGGCUUGUGUGUUGGGCCCCGUCCUCCGAUCCCGGGGGACGGGCCCGAAAGGCAGCGGCGGCACCGCGUCCGGUCCUCGAGCGUAUGGGGCUUUGUCACCCGCUCUGUAGGCCCGGCCGGCGCUUGCCGAUCAACCCAAAUUUUUAUCCAGGUUGACCUCGGAUCAGGUAGGGAUACCCGCUGAACUUAAGCAUAUCAAUAAGCGGAGGA